AGGAGAGUUUGAUCCUGGCUCAGGAUGAACGCUAGCGACAGGCCUAACACAUGCAAGUCGAGCGGCAGCACUUCGGGUGGCGAGCGGCGCACGGGUGAGUAACGCGUAUGUAACCUGCCCAUGAGUGGGGGAUAGCCCGGUGAAAACCGGAUUAAUACUCCAUGACACCAUUGUCUGACAUCUUAGAAUGGUUAAAGAUUCAUCGCUCAUGGAUGGACAUGCGUUGGAUUAGCUGGUCGGCGGGGCAACGGCCCACCGAGGCGACGAUCCAUAGGGGUUCUGAGAGGAAGGUCCCCCACAUUGGUACUGAGACACGGACCAAACUCCUACGGGAGGCAGCAGUGAGGAAUAUUGGUCAAUGGGCGGAAGCCUGAACCAGCCAAGUCGCGUGGAGGAAGACGGCAUUAUGUGUUGUAAACUCCUUUAGCUGUGGAGAAAUAAGGCGGUCGUGACCGCCGAUGCUAGUACACAGAGAAUAAGGAUCGGCUAACUCCGUGCCAGCAGCCGCGGUAAUACGGAGGAUCCGAGCGUUAUCCGGAUUCAUUGGGUUUAAAGGGUGCGCAGGCGGUGCCUUAAGUCGGCGGUCAAAUCGUGGGGCUCAACCCCAUCCCGCCGUUGAUACUGGGGCACUUGAUUACGGUCGAGGCAGGCGGAAUUCGUCGUGUAGCGGUGAAAUGCAUAGAUAUGACGAAGAACACCGAUUGCGUAGGCAGCCUACCAGGCCGCAAAUGACGCUCAUGCACGAAAGUGCGGGGAUCGAACAGGAUUAGAUACCCUGGUAGUCCCCU
rnacentral:rRNA from 1 species